rnacentral:rRNA from 1 species
AUUGAACGCUGGCGGCAGGCCUAACACAUGCCAGUCGAGCGGAUGAAGGGAGCUUGCUCCUGGAUUCAGCGGCGGACGGGUGAGUAAUGCCUAGGAAUCUGCCUGGUAGUGGGGGAUAACGUCCGGACACGGGCGCUAAUACCGCAUACGUCCUGAGGGAGAAAGUGGGGGAUCUUCGGACCUCACGCUAUCAGAUGAGCCUAGGUCGGAUUAGCUAGUUGGUGGGGUAAAGGCCUACCAAGGCGACGAUCCGUAGCUGGUCUGAGAGGAUGAUCAGUCACACUGGAACUGAGACACGGUCCAGACUCCUACGGGAGGCAGCAGUGGGGAAUAUUGGACAAUGGGCGAAAGCCUGAUCCAGCCAUGCCGCGUGUGUGAAGAAGGUCUUCGGAUUGUAAAGCACUUUAAGUUGGGAGGAAGGGCAGUAAGUUAAUACCUUGCUGUUUUGACGUUACCCACAGAAUAAGCACCGGCUAACUUCGUG